CUAAAAGUGUAUUUUGGUUCCUCUUCAUGCAUAAUUAAAUCCACUACCACCUGGGAUGUGAGAAAUCCUUGCAGUGCCUUAGCCCGCCUUGCUUGUGAGCGGAGUUAAUAUGAAAUGGGCCGUCUGUGUCUUCUUCAGGGUGGGAGAGGCAUGGAGGUUCUCUUCCUGUAUUUGACUAGAUGGCUGAUCCAUGUAUCAAGCCAUUAUGAGAAGAAUUAACACAACUCUGUGGAAUGUUCCUUCCAGCUUGGCGCUUUAGCUGUAAUCCAUUCAGGAAGAGAGGAAAGGCCUUGCUUUUAGAGAGGUUUUUACAUCCAGUCUUGGUCAGAUGUGUUGGUGGCCCUUCCCUUUUGGUUACUUUGGAUUUAUUGUGUUAAUAGUCUCAGCAGAGGUUUCUGUAUAAACUGUGUUUCUCAGCCCUUCAUUUUUGUACUUCUGAAAGCCUGCUGAUACUUCUCUCUUGUGUGUGAACGGUGUUAUUUCAUAUGGAUCUGUGCUGCUUGGAUGUAUCCUGGGUAGCACCAUCUUGUGUGUGUACAGUGCCCUUUUGGAACGGCGUGCAUGGCUUGAGUGCUGGAAAUGGCAGGAAUGGAAAUUUACUUUGCUGGAAAUAGUGGGAAGGUACUGCUCUGGAGGAAUGGGAACUAUGAAAGUUCCAAGUCUGCUCUGGGGAAGACAGUCUUGACGUCUUUAUCCCUUGGAGCAACACCAUCUGGUAUUAUCCAGGCAAUGUAGUAAUGGGUUCUUAGCAUCCGUCCUUGCGCUGCUUUCCUCAGCCUUACUCCAGGGGCUCUUUAAACCCGUAGGUGCCUUGGCAUUGCCUGAGGAUAUAUUGAAACUAUGCUCAAUUCCCUCCCCAAGAGGACUCUUGCCUUUCUUUGGGGCCUACAAUUUGAGCACACAUCCAUCCCUGUAAUAUCAAAUGUAGCUCAUCUUUUGCUCAGGUAAGAGUCUGAAUCAGUGGGGUUUUUUUAAUUUCAGUAGCUGAGCAGUUCUCAGUUUAUUUAGAAUGGCGGCUGCUUAAUCCAUAGCGAAGAAACGGUUGUGUUGCAGGGGCCGUGGGUGUCUGAGAAGCAGCGGUGGUUGGAUCUCUGUCUCCAAGGAAAUACGCUUUUUAUAAAUAUGAUGCUUUUUUAGCAAAAGUGAAGCAUCUUGCUAAUGUCAGUGGCAAUAAAUUAGAUAAAACUGCUCUUAUAAACUUACAGGAAUGAAAUUUGGCUACCCAGUUUUCCAGAUCAUGCACUUGUGGGCUUCCCUGCUUCUAAAUUUCAGCCACCUUGCAAGUUUCAGGCAUUGGCCGUUGUGAUACAAGGAUCAGGAAGUGACCUGGAUUGCAAUUUCUGCAAUUCUGUUGGCUUACAAUCUCGUCAACGGGAUACAGAAGUAAGAAAAGUUGGUGAAGAGAAAGGAUAACACACAGAUUCAGGCACUAAUUUAGGGGUUGGGGGGCUGCAGUGCCCCCACCCUGCAUUUUACUAUAGGCUGUGUUUCUCCCCAGCUGUCUACACUGCCAGAAGCGGCUGGAUUCCCAACAUUUCUGCUGGGAAAAAAUGCAUGAUCCCAAACCACCAAGCCCAUGGGUGGACCACAUAAGGUCCACAGGUUACCUCCCCUUACCUCAGUUCUGCAUAGAAGUAGUAGACAACUUGGUUUUAGUUUAGUUUUGAAGGCAGGGUUGGUUUUGUUUUUUGAAGGUAGUGGUUGUUAAAUGCAUGGGAAGGGCAAGGAGAGAGCAAAUCUGCUCCCCAAGACUUGAUGUCAUGUCAUUCUCUAUGCGUGUCUUUAAUUCCUGUUAUGAUAUGUUAACUGUAGUUAAUGCUUCUUUGUUUUGUAUCUCCUUUAGGUACCUGAACUACAGCUGUUCUUAGGCUGCCAAACAUCAGACAGUCCCUUUGUAAGCUGAUCUUUAUUGACACUUUGCAGCUACCAGGCAAACUAGCUCUAAAACCCCCCCAGCUGGUUGGAAGCUAUGCCUCUUCACUUGUCAAGAAGGGUACUUGAACCCAAACUGGGGACUUCUCCCCAAAACUUUUUCCCUUUAGCAACCUUGUGGGCUUCAAGGUAUAGCUCAGUCUCACACACGUUUAUCCUCAGUACUGCCUAGUGCCAGAAUGAUGUCAUCAUGAUUUCAUUUCUGUAUUGCCCCACAGCCAAACCUUCCUGGGGGGUUUACAACAAUCCAUAAAAAUAUCAUAAAAUCAUUAAAAAAAAGUUUAAAAUAAGUGCAACAAACAAGAAUGAAGGAUGAUGUUGUAAAACUCCUGGAAUAGGUAAUAUCAAGCCCUGAAUAUUAAUAUUCUAAAGGUUCCUUUUGUGUUAAAACCAUGUUUCUGCUAUAUUUGCUGAAAAUGGCACUGCUUGUAAUGUCUAAGCUGUGCAUUUUCAGGAACAGACCCUGAAAAAGAAGGCAGAAAAGUAUGAUUUUUGGGAUGAGCACAACUGAUCCUAGCUAAUAUAGUUCUGAACUCUGUCCUUGUAUUUGAUAGCUGAGAGGCCUUGAAUUAUUACCAUCACACCUAAUUUAAAAUUGUCCAUGCAUAGUUUUGUAGCCUGGGGAUGUGAUUUUUACAUUGCACUCAAUGUAAUAAAGUGGAUUAUAUUUUUAAUAGAA